AAAAAAAAGAAAAGAAAAGAAAAAAAAGGAUUUCUUAUCUAAGUUUAUCACAAUGGGUUAGCUGACACAGAGAGACGCAACUGGCAGUAUCAUGUAGGUAUAGGAAUUUGAUAUGCACUCAAUAGUUGAAGUAAUUCAAGACACCUUCAUGUUUUCCUGGUUUAGUGGUAAUCAGCGUGGCUAGAGAUUACUUGCAGAUUUUGACCAUUGGAUAAAAAAGUUAAGAGUUCCCAGAUCCGGCCACUGCACUCCAGCCUGGGUGACAGAGCGAGACUCCGUCUCAAAAAAAAAAAAAAAAAAAAAAAGGCUAAGA